rnacentral:rRNA from 1 species
GACGAACGCUGGCGGCGUGCUUAACACAUGCAAGUCGAACGGAAAGGCCCCGUUUGGGUUACUCGCGUGGCGGACGGGUGGGUAACACGUGAGUAAGUUACCCUUGACUUCGGGAUAACUUCAUUAAACUGGGGCGAGUACCGACUAGGAAUCCUCUCUGCAUGGUGGGGGGUGGUAAGCUUGGGCCGUUUGGGAGGGAAGGGCUGCUUAUCAGCUUGUUGGUGGGGGAGUGGCUUACCAAGGCCUUGACGGGUAGGCGGCCUGAGUGGGCGGACGGCCAACUUGGGACUGGGAUACGGCCCAGAACCCUACGGGGGGCAGCAGGGGGGAAUAUUGCAACAUGGGCGGGAGCCUGAUGCAGCCACGCCGCGGGGCGGAUGACGGCCUUCGGGUUGGAAACCGCUUUCCGCAGGUGCGAAGCUUGUAGUGACGGUAACUGCAGAAGAAGCACCGGCUAACUACGUG